rnacentral:lncRNA from 1 species
GUAUUACUGUACUGUUGGAGCUAUAAACACAAGCAUUGUGUAUUACUGUACUGUUGGAGCUAUAAACACAAGCAUUAGGUAUUACUGUACUGUUGGAGAUAUAAACACUAGCAUUAUAUAUUACUGUACUGUUGGAGCUAGAAACACAAGCAUUAGGUAUUACUGUACUGUUGGAGCUAUAAACACAAGCAUUAUAUAUUACUGUACUGUUGGAGCUAGAAACACAAGCAUUAUAUAUUACUGUACUGUUGGAGCUAUAAACACAAGCAUUAGGUAUUACUGUACUGUUGGAGCUAUAAACACAAGCAUUAUAUAUUACUGUACUGUUGGAGCUAGAAACACAAGCAUUAUGUAUUACUGUACUGUUGGAGCUAGAAACACAAGCAUUAUAUAUUACUGUACUGUUGGAGCUAUAAACACAAGCAUUAUGUAUUACUGUACUGUUGGAGCUAUAAACACAAGCAUUAUAUAUUACUGUACUGUUGGAGCUAGAAACACAAGCAUUAUAUAUUACUGUACUGUUGGAGCUAGAAACACAAGCAUUAUAUAUUACUGUACUGUUGGAGCUAUAAACACAAGCAUUAGGUAUUACUGUACUGUUGGAGCUAUAAACACAAGCAUUAUAUAUUACUGUACUGUUGGAGCUAUAAACACAAGCAUUAUAUAUUACUGUACUGUUGGAGCUAUAAACACAAGCAUUAGAUAUUACUGUACUGUUGGAGCUAUAAACACAAGCAUUAAGUAUUACUGUACUGUUGGAGCUAUAAACACAAGCAUUAUAUAUUACUGUACUGUUGGAGCUAUAAACACAAGCAUUAAGUAUUACUGUACUGUUGGAGCUAUAAACACAAGCAUUAUAUAUUACUGUACUGUUGGAGCUAUAAACACAAGCAUUAUAUAUUACUGUACUGUUGGAGCUAUAAACACAAGCAUUAUAUAUUACUGUACUGUUGGAGCUAGGACCAGCUUGCUUAGGGGAUAUUUUAGCAGUUCUGCAUUUUAUGAGUUCUGCAUGCAGUCUCUCUCUGUGUCUCACUCUCUCUCUCUCUCUCUCAAACUCACACUGUUCCUCCCUCUCUUUCCAUCUCUCUCUCCCUCGCUCUCUCCAUCUCUCCCCCGCCCCACCACGUUAAGCUCAGGAAGGGUGAUUGGUCUAAAUUGGAUCUAAUGUUUCUGUACCUGGCAGCAGAGAUGCCAGAGCCUGCUGCCCCAUUGUCAUCCAAUUACACACACACACGCACGCACGCACGCACGCACGCACGCACGCACG